GACACCCCCUGCUUCCUGCUGGAACUCGUCUCUCCAGGAGCUCUCCGAGUGUUUGUGCUCAAGGGGUUAAAGGCACUCCAUCUAACUUGGAUCAACGAUCCCAGGGCUGUUGAAGGAGAUGACAGGCCCAUGUGUGUGCCCACACUGGCUCCAAGCAGAGAGGAACCAGUUCUACCUCAAGACUCCCAGGCACCCCCGAUCUGGAAGACAGAGCUCUAUCUUGCUGCAAAGCUACAUCUGCCCACCAGAUGAGCAGUACCUGUAAAAACUUCCCACAUCAAGCCUUGUGGGGCUAAUGCCUCUUCCAGAGCCGCUGACAACAGGAAAAUGAUCCUAGCACUGCACUUCCCAAAGGACUCAGAGAUUCUUGCCCUGGAGCCAGGAAUGGGGAGUUUGAUGUUGUGUUGUCCACAGACAUUCCAGAAGGAAAGGGUUGCAGUAGGAGAAGGCCUGGACGAACAAGAGGAGGGACCAGGGAACAAAAGCAGAUUCUCAAAGAGGUCAAUAUAUAUUGGCUAAUUGCUUAAUAUUGGUAAUAGUAUUAAUAACAAAAAUCCCUACCAUUUACUGAAGGCCUUUAGCAUGCCAGGCCUCUUGCAGACAUCGCUCCAAUUCAUUCUCACAGCCUUGCAGAAUAUGUAUUACUUUCCCCAUUCUACAGAAGAAGAAACUGCUACUCCCAGAGGGUAUGCUUUCAAAGAUCACAGGGCUGCCACCAAGCCUGCUGCUUCAUGUCUGAGUGAAACAGAGCAAUCUCCCAGAUAACAGGAGACGGGUAGGUGGAAACAUUUCUAAAAUGGGGCUGAAGGAGAGCAAGUAAGCGCCAAACCUCGGUCCCAGCCCCUCUUGGAAUUGAGUUAAAGAGAAAAGAAGAGCUAAGAGCUCAGCGUUCCUGAAAGCAGCAUGGGUGUCUUUUUUAAUAAACACGCCAAAGCUUGACUCUCUG
rnacentral:lncRNA from 1 species